ensembl:lncRNA
GGGCCCUGAUCUGAACCCCAAACAGGCUGACAUGUGGCAGACCAGAGUUAGCACCCACAGUGGUAAAGCCAUCGGAGUUGCCAUCGGCUGCAUCUUAGGGAUGUUCCCGCUCCUCUUCUUCAAAGAUGAGACGAAGAAGAAAGCAGUGGAAAGGGAGGGUAAAGAUGGAUCACUGACCUCCAUCUCCACUGGCAGCAGCAAUUGAGACAACUUGACCGAAAGACUUACCUUCUCGGGAAGAGAGAGAGAGAGAACUUAUCAUUGGACUACGGCUACUUCACAACCUAACUACUGCAUAAUGAAUAACCUCAAUCAAGCGUGACUACUGAUGUCAAUUGUUGAUGUCAAUGUCUUCAAUUGUUCCUACUGCAACGUUCAAAAAGCAGUAUGAAGAAAAACAACAACGAUGGUAAAUACAAGUGGACCAAUCUUCCAACCACGUUUUCUGCUGCUUCUUCGGGUUGUUUUGUUUGUUUUGUUUUUGAGUUGGUGCAACUUUUCCUUUUUUGAGUUUAGUGUAUCUUAGUCCUAAUCAGUUAGAGGUGGCCAGGUUGGAUUUCUGAUGGACUACACUCAAUUCAGUUCAAUUGAACUGUAAUAUCUCUCAACAGGGGGGGAGGGGGGGGUAUUCCUGCAACAUCUGGUGUAAGUAAUCAACAUGCUGUGUGGCUGUUGUCUCUUUAGAUUAAAGGACCGUGUGAGGAGAGGACAAGGCCAGCUGCUAUAGCUAGAUAACACAUUUACAGAAACUAUUCAGUCUUCAGUUAGUUUACUGAGGUUAGACCUUUCCUACUGGAUUUCAUUGGGGCGGCAGGUAGCCUAGUGGUUAGAGUGUAGGGGCGGCAGGUAGACUAGUGGUUAGAGUGUAGGACUAAUAACCAAAAGGUUGCAAGAUCGAAUCCCCCGAGCUGACAAGAAUGAAGAAGCUGCUCAUGUCACACGGUCACAAACACCCUCCUCCAUUUUGGACUUCCAGAAUAGGAAAAACAUCUGCUCCCAUCAUCCAAUGGAAAUGCUCUGUUUUGUUUUUUUGGUGGAUAACUCGAUAACGCCAUGGCUGCAUGCUAAUCAUAAAACUAAUUCAGAUUUUAAUUGUUAGGCUGAGUGAAAUGUUGGACUUUAGUAUAUCUGUAAAUACAACAGUAGAGCACAUAACAGCAG